UACGUAGGGGGCUAGCGUUGUCCGGAAUCACUGGGCGUAAAGGGUUCGCAGGCGGAAAUGCAAGUCAGAUGUAAAAGGCAGUAGCUUAACUACUGUAAGCAUUUGAAGCUGCAUAUCUUGAGAAGAGUAGAGGUAAGUGGAAUUUUUAGUGUAGCGGUGAAAUGCGUAGAUAUUAAAAAGAAUACCGGUGGCGAAGGCGACUUACUGGGCUCAUUCUGACGCUGAGGAACGAAAGCGUGGGUAGCAAACA
rnacentral:rRNA from 1 species